GACAGAGGGUGCAAACGUUGUUCGGAAUUACUGGGCGUAAAGCGCGUGUAGGCUGCUCGGAAAGUCGGAUGUGAAAGCCCUGGGCUCAACCUAGGAAGUGCAUUCGAAACUUCCGAGCUGGAGUGCUGGAGAGGAAGGCGGAAUUCUCGGUGUAGAGGUGAAAUUCGUAGAUAUCGAGAGGAACACCGGUGGCGAAGGCGGCCUUCUGGACAGCCACUGACGCUGGAGACGCGAAAGCGUGGGGAGCAAACAGG
rnacentral:rRNA from 1 species